UGUUGGGUCAUGCCUCUGGUCCUUCACUCCCUCUUCUUUACCUCCUGCAUCACAAAAGCCUACCAGAGCAGGAAGUACCUGGGAUUCCUGGGGAGGAUGAGAAACAACAUACAAAGUCAGUAUCACAUUUAGCAAGGAGGGGUUAUGGGAAAGACCAAGAAUAUUCAGCAUUUGUCAUUUCAUUUGUUUCUGUGGAUUUGAGCUACCAUCUGGAGUCAUUUCCUUAGCCCACGCUCUUUCUUAACUGAAGAAGAUAGAAACAUUGCAGAUAAAGUGAUGAUUUGGAAAAAACGAGAAACCUAAAUUCCCUCCAGACAAUACAUGUCAGAUGAAUGAGAAAAACCCUCAUUGAAAUGGAUUAUUCAGCAUUUAUGACUGAGAGGAUGCUGAGUAGCAACUUGAGCAGCAGAAAGAAAAGAGAUGGUUGGUACCGGGCAGUGGGUCCAUAAGUCUGGAGUGAAGAGACCUCACUGGAAAUAUUUAAAACUCUUCAGCACAUCAAUGAUACUGUAAGAGCUUCCAGGAAGACUGCGGCUCGAGUAUUUUAAUGUAUAAUUGAGUAAAAAACUAUCUUGGCAUUUAAUGAGCAGGGAAAAUAUGAAGAAUAGCUCUCUUUGAAGCCUGUCUUUAAUCUUCAGUGAUGGCUCAGGCAGUAGAGACAAAGGUGAGUUUUAAAGGGGCAGAGCUGACUCGUUAUUCCAUCAGAGGACUCAUCAACCAAUUUCCCUGCUUGAAUUAAGGUAUUUAUUUUUGUGUUUUUACAUUUUGAGUAAAAGAAUUCUUUUAAAAUAUGUACAUGUUGGGAAGAUAUUUUGCAUAUGAAAACCAUGCCUUUCAAAAAUACAUAAUUCAACAAUCCAACAUAAUACAAAAAGUUCCUGACUUUGAAGUUUAUUUUAAAGUCAAAUGGAAACAACCAUCUACCCUAUUAUCUCCACAUAAUAUAUAUGCACCUAGAUGAUUUUUAAAGGACCUUUCAGGCCAUUAGACUAAAAUAACAAAAUAAGUCAUAAGCACAGCAUCAAGUGCUUAUUAUCACCCCACUGUCAUCUAAAGGGCUCAUUCCUUUUAUUACAUCUAUUUCUCACAUUAUCUUCUUUUAAAAAAGCUUUCACACUUAAGCAAAAUUGUUCCCAUCAAUAAAAGCAUUGGCUGAAUUACAUAGUUCUUCAAGUGUGGUGUUCCCUCUUAAAAGUUGCUCUAUGGAACCAACUCAGAAAGGGCAGACAUUCAUUCAUUUUUUUGAGAGGCACAUCCUGGAUCCUGAAUGAGAUAAACAGUAUUUAAUUUCAGUUGCCGUUACAGAGGGGAACGGAGGGAAUGGAUGAGUCUCCAAUAAGAAGUUCGAGUGAGAAACAAACUGGAAAUUCAGUAGAUAACUGUGGCCUUACCAACUUAGAUUGGUUUACAACACGUCACAUGAUCUUCUAAUAUGCUGCUCUGUUUUCCAAAUGCACUGCUGAAAGUCGGUUUAAAUUUUAA